GAUUUGCGUGAGGGAUAGAGGCGAUAUCUUUUUUUAUGCUUUUUAGCCAAAAAAGAUAAAGCCGAAAACCCGACCCUUG
rnacentral:sRNA from 1 species